CGCCUCUUCCCCAUCCCUCUCCUACCUCCGCCAGGCAGGAAGAGAGCUUUCUCCUUAGAGCCGUGACUUAGGGGUGCCCAGCCCCAAGCACCUUGAGCCCCAUCCUCCUGCGAUGCCCCCUCGGGGUGUAGCUCUUCUGGCUCCGUCUUAAUGUGCAAUGACUCCUGAGCGUCCCCUGAAGGCACUGCCUCCCCCAGCUUAGAAAGCAUUUCCUGAUGAGAAUGUCCACGAUCUGGAAUCUAGAGAGGACAGCCUCAUCAGCACCCGGAUGAGUGGGAGAGACACCCAGAGCUGCAUGCCAGGGCGUUCCGGCAGGGUUGGACACCAACAUGCAAGACACAGCUUGAAGGACUGUCCUUGCUGCCUCCAUUGAGCUCACCCCAGCAAGGAUGGGUGGCAAGAGGAGGAAUAUUCAUCAAGCUGCUGCCACAGUGCCGGUGGGCGUGGUGCCCGAGGGCAGCUACCCCUUCUCAGCUCUGCCUCACACUGACCUCAGCAGUGUAGACUGUUGUUUAUUAGUGUACGAGGAAAACAAGUGUAGUGGCUUGAAUAGUGUCCUCUAAGAAUCCAUGCCCUCCCUGAACCUCAGAAUGGGGCCUUAUUGGGGAAAAGGGUCUUUAUACAGAAUACGAGAGGACACAGAGACACAGAGAAGGAAGCAGAGACUGGAGGGAUGCCCACAUCAAGGACACCAGGAGCCCCCAGGAGCUGGAAGAGACGGAGUUUCACUCUUCUUGCCCAGGCUGGAGUACAAUGGCGCAAUCUCAGCUCACCCCAACCUCUGCCUCCUGGGUUCAAGCGAUUCUCCUGCCUCCGCCUCCUGAGUACCUGGGAUUACAGGCAUGUGCCACCACACCCGGCUAAUUAUGUAUUUUUAGUGGAGAUGGGGUUUCUCCAUAUUGGUAGGCUGGUCUCAAAAUCCUGACCUCAGGUGAUCCGCCCACCUCAGCCUCCGAAAGUGCUGGGAUUACAGGCGUGAGCCACCAUGCCCGGCCUAUAAAAUUGAUUCUUUAAAAAAAAUUAGAACAUUUACCGAUGCUGGACCCGCCUUCCCCACCUUCAGGGUCCACUUUCUAGGUGGCCACAGUGCCUACUUGGCCCCUAUAGCAUUUGAGUUUGCAACUCUGCUUUUGGAGUUAAACAUGUUUUAGGAGUCCUGGGAUUCUGAUUGAUGCUAUUGUCAAUUUGAUGAAAGAAAAAUUACUCCUG